CUUUAGCCUCCAAAAUCUUCAGAAACAUAUCUAAAUAUUGGAUGUUGAAAAAGAAUGCAUCUUAUAUUUAUCUAUUUGUGCAGAUUGUUGCAAAUCCAGUCUUAACGUGUAGAACGAAUUGGAGAGGAGCAAAUUCUGACUGGUAAGCAGUUUCUGAUUUCCCAUACAUUUCAGUGCAUUGAAUUAUCUUAGGAAUUCUAAGGAUAAUUCCUAAGGAUUUUUGAUUCAAAUCUUAGUGAUUGGAAUAGCAAACUUGGGGACUGUUACUUAGCUUCUCCACUGAACUAUUGGACCUGCUUAGUGUCUCCACCGAACUGUUGAGGAUCCUGCACGCUUCUGGAUUUACCUGGUUUCCGUAUCCGUUAAUGUAACAAUCAACCGCUGCUCUGCUCAAUCCAACCAUUUCUAAACAAUCAGCCCAUUUUUCAAGUUUGUUCUCCAAGACUAGCUGUUCCGUACAGUAGAUGUAUCCAAAAUGCUUCAUCUGCAAGUGACAUAGGCAGAGCACAUAUAAUUCACAUUAACAGUCAAAGCCUCUAUAUGGCAUGAAUUGCGUUGAGCGCACACUCAGCUUCUCCGUGCUGAAAACAAAGCAACAGUCAAAUGCUAUGUCCUAAUUCUAUGAUGUACAAUGCAAGUGAGACAUAGCAAGAAGAGUCCAAGACCUGGCAGAGAAUGGUUCCAUCUGGUCUGAUAGCGGCGUUGCCCCAUGGAACGAGCUGGAGAUCAAUGGAUGAGAUUAAGCCGGUUUCGAAGAUCUUAGGCAAGCGGUUGACGAUGAAUUCUGCACAGAAGGGGCAUAGAGCUUCGUAGUAUAAACUUAGUGUAACUUUCUGGCUUGAAGACAGAGAUAAGAGGCAGAAGAAGAUUGUGCAACUUGUGAUGCAAAGCCUCUGAUAUGAUGCCAUUGGUGGAAACAAGAAGAAGAGGAAGAUUGCAGAGAAUUGUUUUUGACUCUUGCUUUAUUCUUGUGUCUCAUUAAACAAGGAAAGUAAGACAUAAAACUGUUUCUUAUUACUUUCAGUGAUUCGUUGAUGCUUUAUUAUUGUUUAAAGGCAUCUUGGGCGUUUUGGCGUUGAAACAAUUGUUG